CCUACGGGUGACAGCAGUGAGGAAUAUUGGUCAAUGGGCGUAAGCCUGAACCAGCCAAGUCGCGUGAGGGAUGAAGGUUCUAUGGAUCGUAAACCUCUUUUAUAAGGGAAUACAGUGUGGGACGUGUCCUAUUUUGUAUGUACCUUAUGAAUAAGGAUCGGCUAACUCCGUUCCAGCAGCCGCGGUAAUACUGAGGAUCCGAGAGUUAUCCGGAUUUAUUGGGUUUAAAGGGUACGUAGGCGGCCUUUUAAGUCAGCGGUGAAAGUCUGUGGCUCAACCAUAGAAUUGCCGUUGAAACUGGGGGGCUUGAGUAUGUUUGAGGCAGGCGGAAUGCGUGGUGUAGCGGUGAAAUGCUUAGAUAUCACGCAGAACCCCGAGUGCGAAGGCAGCCUGCCAAGCCAUGACUGACGCUGAUGCACGAAAGCGUGGGGAUCAAACAGGAUUAGAUACCCCGGUAGUC
rnacentral:rRNA from 1 species